rnacentral:sRNA from 1 species
UGUGUAACUCUCAAUGUUCUUCUGCUCUGUGCUCUGUGCUUGUGUAGUUUCUAAUGAUUCUUCUAUGUAGCUCUUAACAUUCUUCUGCUCCAUGCUCUGCACUUGUGUAGUCUCUAACAAUUCUUCCACAUAGCUCCUUAUGUUCCCCCACUCUGUGUUCCAUGCUUGUGUAGUCUCUAACAAUUCUUCUGUGUAGCUCCUUAUGUUCUCCCACUCUGUGUUCUGUGCUUGCAUAGUCUCUAACAAUUCUUCCGUGUAGCCCUCAAUGAUUCCCCUGCCCCACAUUCUGUGCUUGUGUAACUUCUAAUGAUUCUUACACAUACCUCUUAAUGUUCUUCCACUCCGCACUCCACUGUGGAGCAGCUUCUGAUAUUCUUCCGCUCCGAACUUUCUUCUAUAAGAACCUCCUUCGUACGACCUUUUCUUCUGAUUUCCUUUCUCUUUCUUUCCUUAAUCAAUUCGUAAUCUGUAAUUAGGAUAGUAUCAAAUCGUUAAUCAAAGUACGCCC